rnacentral:rRNA from 1 species
CCUACGGGAGGCAGCAGUGAGGAAUAUUGGUCAAUGGGCGUAAGCCUGAACCAGCCAAGUCGCGUGAGGGAUGAAGGUUCUAUGGAUCGUAAACCUCUUUUAUAAGGGAAUAAAGUGCGGGACGUGUCCCGCUUUGUAUGUACCUUAUGAAUAAGGUUCGGCUAACUCCGUGCCAGCAGCCGCGGUAAUACGGAGGAUCCGAGCGUUAUCCGGAUUUGUUGGGUUUAAAGGGUGCGUAGGCGGCCUUUUAAGUCAGCGGUGAAAGUCUGUGGCUCAACCAUAGAAUUGCCGUUGAAACUGGGAGGCUUGAGUAUGUGUGAGGGAGGCGGAAUGCGUGGUGUAGCGGUGAAAUGCUUAGAUAUCACGCAGAACCCCGAUGGCGAAGGCAGCCUGCCAGGCCAUGACUGACGCUGAGGCACGAAAGCGUGGGGAUCAAACAGGAUUAGAUACCCCUGUAGUC